rnacentral:rRNA from 1 species
AGUGAACGCUGGCGGUAGGCCUAACACAUGCAAGUCGAACGGCAGCACAGUAAGAGCUUGCUCUUACGGGUGGCGAGUGGCGGACGGGUGAGGAAUACAUCGGAAUCUACUUUUUCGUGGGGGAUAACGUAGGGAAACUUACUCUAAUACCGCAUACGACCUACGGGUGAAAGCAGGGGAUCUUCGGACCUUGCGCGAUUGAAUGAGCCGAUGUCGGAUUAGCUAGUUGGCGGGGUAAAGGCCCACCAAGGCGACGAUCCGUAGCUGGUCUGAGCGGAUGAUCAGCCACACUGGAACUGAGACACGGUCCAGACUCCUACGGGAGGCAGCAGUGGGGAAUAUUGGACAAUGGGCGCAAGCCUGAUCCAGCCAUACCGCGUGGGUGAAGAAGGCCUUCGGGUUGUAAAGCCCUUUUGUUGGGAAAGAAAAGCAGCAGGUUAAUACCCCGCUGUUCUGACGGUACCCAAAGAAUAAGCACCGGCUAACUUCGUG